rnacentral:rRNA from 2 species
UCCUAGGUGAACCUGCGGAAGGAUCAUUG